AAUACACAACUGACCGAACCAAUGAGUCUUUCAAGCAAAUUGUUGAUAAGAUGAAGAUGGCAAUGUCAUAUGUCCACAUAUAUGUAUAAGCGAUGUUUGUGGAAUUGGAAACCUAACUGGUAAAGCAAUAUCAUAUGUCCAUUAAUAUAUAUAUAUAUAUAUAUACACCAGAAUGUGUAAUUGGAAACCCAAUUGUUAAUUUUGGGAUGAAUUAAGGCAGAGGAGAGGGUCCAUCGUUGAAAAUGAGAAAGUAUUUGUAUGAGGGGUAUUCCAAUUCACACAUCAUCCAGCCCUCCACCGCCCCUACCUCCCUUAGAUCCACCUCCAUCCAGCCCCACUGCGCCAUCACUAUCGUCCUCCAUCACCCCAUUCCCCAAAUCCAUAUUUUCCAGCGAAACCUCCUCUCCCUAGACCCAUCAUUUUUGGCGACCCCCUUGCCCUUUGUAGAUCCAUCUUCUCCAGCAGAGAGAGAAGCAGAUGGAAAGCAAAAAGGGCAUAUUCAUAUGUGACAAGGUGUAUGAUCUGUUCCCGACCUUUAUUUCCGGAGCUAGUUUAGGGUUUUGAGCAAAUAUUGUAUUUUUUUUUUUCAUGGAACUACAGGCUUUGGAUUUGUAGGUUGCUUAUUUAUAUAGAUAUUUAUUACUAUUUGUUCCUGGGUUCACGCUUGGAUCAUUGUCUGUGUAUUUGUGGUACACAAUAGAUACAUACGUAAUAAUACUAAUGCUUUGUAUGACUGGACAUUGCUGCUUGCAACCUAAAACAAAUAGAUGUGAAAACUUGGCAAAGGUAAAUGGCUACAAGAGCCACAGAUUUACGUGAGGCCCUGUUGCUACAAGCAUCUGUCCUGGGGCCAUUGGCACAUACAUAAUUUUCCGAAAACUUGUCAUUGGCAUAAUUUCUCAAGAGGGCUAAGGGAAGAAGUAACAAGAGGGGAGGUAGCCAAGGGUGCUGUAAGGGUAGAGGAGCUGCCAAGAGGUAUGAUAGAGAGAGAUGUAAAAGAUAUCAUUGAGCAGAAAGUCCAUGGGACUUGGAGCUUAUGGAUUCAAUUAUCCUUGAGCAGGGGUCUUGGAUAUUGAUGUUGGAUUAUCGAUGUUUUUGAUCUCA